AUGAUCUGGCAUAUGCAUGAUCAGGACGGUGCAUUGUGUCAUAUCAAUGGCGAGUUGAAGAUACUCUGUGUGUCGCACAAAGCUGAUGCUGGGUUUCACGAACCCGUCACCAUCAUAGACACACUUGACGCCGUCGUUCCGGUAGAUCGUCUUGACGAGCAGGAACACUGCCUGGAUGCUGGUGAUGGGGUUGAGGAGGUAAGGGUUGCUGACAUCAUCAUUGGUGAACAUAUCGCCGUCAUGGCACGCGAAGGUGAAGCCCUGCUUCUCGUGUGUUGGCCCCGGAAGGUGGCGCUGCUGGAGUGCCAGUAG
rnacentral:rRNA from 1 species